rnacentral:lncRNA from 1 species
CAGCUAUUCAGCGGUCAGAGUGGCUUCAGAAUCACGACCUUGAAAUUUCACCCAAGAGACCACAGCCUCUUUGUAUGUGGAGGUUUCAGCUCUGAGAUGAAAGCUUGGGACCUGAGGACCAGCAAGACGCCAGCUGACGCGCUCGGAGAAGGCUGGGGAGAAGCAAUUAGGAGCAGAUGUUGCUGUGACUGGUAUUGGCAUGUUUGCCAGUCUCUCCCAAGCUAAUAAUGUGGGUAAAGGGAUCUGUGCGGUAUUUGUUUUCACUUCCGUUUCACCAAUAAUCCAACUGCCUGUCCUCCCUCGCUGGGUCACAGGACUCGUUCCAUUUGCAUCAGCCAGACGUGGGGGACCCCUCUCUUGCCUGCUGCAAUUAUGUCCGCUCUGACAGGUGUUGCCCAGGAGCCUCAUCUGGACCCAGCAGGAGGACCAGGGAGGAAAAGCACGGGCGCCCACCCGGGGUGGCUCUCUGUGCUCCCGCGGGCUCCGCCAGGCUCCCGCGGGGCUCUGUCCCAGGUGCUNUCCCCCCCCCCCCCCCCCCCCCCCGCCCGCGUGCGGACGUCUAGGGCUGAGCAGCUUGGCUCUUUCUGUCUGCCUUCAGGGCAGCCGUGGAAACCGCAGGUGGAAGCAGGAGGGACAGACUUCAAAUCUUAAAAUCAAGACAAGUUUCCGCUUUCAUGUUUUUAUUUUUAUUUUUUCUUUUUACAGCCGCACACGUGGCAUGUGGAAGUUCCCGGACUAGGGGUCAAAUUGGAGCUGCAGCUGUCGGCUACGCUAUAGCCACAGCAACGCGGGAUCCCAGCCGCAUCUGUGGUCUAUGCUGCAGCUUGUGGCAAUGCUGGAUCUUUAACCCACUGAGUGAGGCCAGGGAUCGAACCCGCAUCCUCAUGGAUUCUGCCCGGGUUCUUAACCCACUGAGCCACAAUGGAAACUCCAGGUUUCUUCUUUUAAAACAAUGGGAAGGACUUAUUAUUAUAAAAGUAAUAUGGGAUUAUAUGAAAAAUUAGAAAAAUGGAGAGAAAUAGAAGGGAUACUCAAGCCAGCUGAAGGUAAAUAAACAUUAGUAACAUUCCAAUAUCUUUAUUUCAUUGUUCUUGUCCCCUGGGCAUUUUUAAACUUUUUUUCCUUUUUCUUUUUUUCCGCCACCCCACCGCAUAUGGAGCUCCUGGGAUCAGAUCCAAGCUGUAGUUGCACUCUAAGCCCCAGUUGCAGCAACACCAGAUCCUUAACCCACUGUGCUGGGCUGGGGAUCAAACCUGCAUCCCAGCGCUCCCAAGACCACACCCAACCCAUUGCUCCCCCCCCUGUGCAUUUUUUAAAACACUGUCUGGUUGUGUUUUCACACAGUUUUGUGAUUUACUUUUCACACAGCACUGUGAGGGUUUUCCUUGUAAUCACAAGUUUUCGUAGAGUUUUCAGCACAUCUCUUUGAUACAGCAGGCUUGGCCGAUUUGCUCCUUGCCCUAUCCUCAGGACUCGAGCCGUGUCUGGCACAGCAGCGCUCGAUAGAUAUGGAUCGAAUGAGUCGAUUUCAAGUGACUUAGCUUAUUAAACCCUUUCCCUAGGUUGGACGUUUAGGACUUUUCCUCGAGCUUUAUUUGCCUUUUAACGUUAAUAGGUGGGAGGGAAGAGGCCAGGAUCGGCACACUGCAGCUCGGGGCUGUUUUUGUAAAUAAAGAUUUGUCGGACGCAGUUCUGCUCAGUCACGUGACGUCGUCUGCAGCCGCUUUCACACUGCAGUGGUCGGCUUGAGGAGUGGCACCAGGGCUCACGACGUGACCAGCAAAGCCAAACAUAUUUAGAGUCUGGGCGGCCCCUGCUAGGAGGGAUCUGGCUGUGACAUCUGUCCCGCUAUGGCUUGUGGGGACCGAGCCUCCAGAUCUGGCUAAGGCGUGUGUGUGGGGGGGGUGUCCCAGGGCCUCACGCUGCCAUGGGUGCCCUGUGGAAACCAUGGGUGCUCAGAGACUGUCUUCUCAGUUGUCUGUGCUUCGGUCAGGGGUCCUUUCUCUCUGUUGGCAUCUCCCGCCGAGCCAGCCAAGUCUGCUUUAGUAUACAUUCCACCUUCAGACACGUUGGUACGGCUGGUGUUUCCCACCUUUGGGGUCCUCUUUCCUGCAGCUUGGCUCCCAGAACUGAAACUGCUGUGUUGAAAUGCGUCGGCAUUCUGAAGGUGAGGGGUGGGUUUCGGCUGCUGAAGCCAAGCCCACCUCUGGAGCGGGACGCCUGGCCGACAGGCUCUCGCAGGGGCUGAGGAGGAGCUGGAGUCGAUAACUUCGAAGCUGCUUUCCGGUCCCACACGUUUGUGGUUCCGCAGGCUUAGCCACAUGAUGAAUGUUGGGAGUCUGGACUCCGCCGGUCCAGCCCAAUUCAUUACAGCAAAUGGGCUGCUUGGCCCAUUCUUCCUUUCUCCGCCAUCUCGCUCUGCUCGGGUUUGAUGAUUGGAGCCCGUUCCUCAUGGCUGCACAGCGUCCGCCUUCGUCUGCAGCGGGUCGGCAGGAUGUGUCCUCGUGCGUGAGCCGGCCGCACCUGCCGACUCCAGGCGGCUCAGUGCUGCUGGAACAGGGUUUCCUGACUCUUCCUCCUCCCGCGUCUGCUCGUACGUGGGUGUAGUCUGGAACCCAGGAUGCCUGUGGGCUGACCUGCGUGUUCCUCUGGGGGUCCAAGCCCCCGCCCCGGCCGCCGGCGCCCAUGGGCCUGAGCCGCAGGAAGCCUGGCCUCACGUCCUCCCUCUCCCACUCGCUCGGCCGGGCGGUUUCCCGCGGCUCUCUAGGCUGAAGCCUCUUUCAGUCCGGGUUUCCCCACUGGUUUAGUGAAGAGGCGGGACGAGGGCACCUCUAAAGCAGGGCCUCUGGACUCACCUGUACGUGGGAGCGCUCCUGGGCGCUUGUUAGGAUGCAGACUGUCUCAGCAGGAUGGUGUCUCAGCCCGGGCUGCUCUGGCACAGUACCGCAGGCCGGGCCUCAACAGCAGGAAUGUAUUUCUCGCGGUUCUGGAGGUGCCAUUGUGGCUGGGUUCUGGUGAAGGCUGGCUUGUAGACAGCUGCCUCCUUGCUGUGUCCUCACAUGAUGGAGAGAGCACCAGCUCUGGUCUCUUCAUCCCUCUCUAAGGCCACCACUCCCUUCGUGGCACCUCCACCCUCAUGACCGAGUCUAAACCUAAUUCCCUCGCAAAGGCCCCUCUCCAGAUGCCAUCACAUUGGGGAUCAGGGCUUCAGUAGAUAGAUUUUGGGGACACAAACAUCCAAUCCAUCGCAGAUGAGGGCGUGCAUUUCAGCAAGUUCCCGGGAGAUGCAGAGGCAGGCGGCCCGUGGACCACACUUUGAGGAGCCAGGGCUCUGAACAUAGAGGGCCGCUGCUCCCUCACCUGGCAUCUUUGGUCCGUGUCUUUGAUGACUUGCACAGCCUGUGACCUAUCUCCGUGACAACCAGGCUUUUAGACUGUGAACCAGAGCUCCUUCGCUGACGGGUGUCAUUUACAGCUGCCCGUGACGGGGGCUGAGACGAGUCAGGUCUGUGCCCCCAGCAGCUUUGGUAGAGCCUGGACCAGAGCUGCUGCUCGGGGCAGGGCGGGGGGUAACCUGCAGUGAACUUCUGGAGUCAGCUGCCUCUCCUGUCAUGGUGGAGCCAUGCAGGAGCGCCCACUGGCCCACAGCUUGGGGCCGUGGCCCCCCUGGGACCUCUGUAGAGGGAGAGGGUGCUCUGGCAAGUGGGAAAUAAAGGCUUGCUGCCAUUCAGCUGUGACCCAUGUCUCAGGAGUGUGGACAGAGGCCGAGGACUUGGGGCACCCUGGAGCGGCGGCCCCAACAUUGUGUUUCUCAGCCAGGUCUGAGCACUCAUGCUCCCCUGUGUCUGUAGGUGGUGGAGUUACCAGCCUUACCCGUUUCCAGCCUCACAGGGCCGUGGCUCUGUGCCCAGUGGGGAAUGGAGCGGUGGAGUGCCAGGCCUGCAGGGCCCACCAGCCCUGUGGGAAAUGCGCUAAGGUAGUUAUUUUCAAGUUUGCUCUAAGAUGACUGGGUGGUUUGAGCCAAAGUUAGGGUAGGUAAUACAUUUUCUCCUUUAUAUCAUGAACCAAAGCCUCCUCUGGAGGCUUAAAAAUCCUAGCACAGACUUAAUGAAUCACUCUUUUUCAAAGACUAAAGCCUGGGACCCCAGCCUCGGCAAAUGACCUCUCAGCUGAGCAGGACGGAGCGCUGGACAUCAGAGCCGAACCCUCUAGGACAUGUGGCUCCUGCCACUGGGAGCCUCUCCGCCAGGGAGCAGGCUGGGCCCGAGCCCGUGUGCUCAGGCCCCCACUGGUCCUUGGAAACAACCCCCACACACACCUGGGGUAGGCUCAGGAUGAGAUGUGCCCUGCCGGGCCAGCUCACUUGUGCCCAGUGGGGGUUUGACGCGAGGCAUCAGCGUCCGGGCUCGUUCCAUAUCUUCUCUUCCUUUCAGGUUGCGAAGGGCCUUGGGGACCUUCCAGAUCUUGCCUUGGUUUCUUGACUCCUUUUGGAACUUUGGCCCAGACCCUCUGCGGGUGCGGGUCCUAAGGUGCAGGUGACAGUGGGGGCGGCCUCUGGCUUGUCCUUCCCACCCGCUGGGUUUCUCCUCUCCGCCUCUGUCACAGCCCCCACUCCGCUGCAGUUUCCCUGCAGGGUAGAAACUCCCCGAGGGCAGAAAUUUGCUCCUUUCCUGCUGUGUUCCCAGCACCUAGCAAUGGGAUGGACCGUGGCAGGAAUGCCUGACAACCUUCAUCCAGACCAACCAGAAGAAUCCAAGCGGUGAGCCCACCCAGCUGGAGCAUCCGCCCAGCCUCCAGGCCUUGACCUGCUCUUCUCGCGCCCCUGCCGUGGGUGCUCUGCCCCGAGUGGGGUGAGACGAGCUGGUAACGCAGCCAGUGAAAGCUGACCUGCUUGCAGGUCAGGGCACCCAGAGCCUUAGAGUACCCUGCCCAUUCCGGACCCCGCCUGCAGGUGGUCUAGGCCACGCGAGGUUUGAAAGCUCUUCAGGUGACUUCAUGACCAGUCCAGUUAUGCAGCACAGCCCUGGGCCAGUUUGGGUGCCUGGGUGAGACUCCUGAGUGCUGGCGCUGUGCCGGCUCCUGCCGGUGUGGGUGAGGGCGCCCCUGCUAUUUUCAUUCCUGAGGCGGCGGUGGCGGUGGCGGCGGCUGUCUGGAAGACUUGGCGCCUGCGUCUCUUGGUUCGGGGGCCAUCCGUUUUGGUGGCGUUGUAGGCAGGUUGCUUAUUUGCCCUAAUGAGGUUUUGAUUACUCUCCAUUUGUCUCUUUCAUCGGCUUUCUAUUGCAAAGCCUUUUUAUUUGGACUUUGUACUUCUGCAGUUCUAAGUUUUGCCUCAAACCAAACUUUUCAUGCAGAUGGAGCAUAGGAGACCCGUGGAAGCGGGGACAGGGAAAGGGUGCCGGCGGUCCCCGCCCCGUAGGACUGAGGGCGGGGGCUGGUCUUCUCUGGGCUCCCCAUCUGACAAGUGGGGGCGGGGCUGGGGUGCUCUAGUCCCCUGCAGACCGUUGGCACUGACACCGGGUGGUGGGUGCAGGAUGCUCCUUGUUAGCACAGCUCACCUGCGGCAGCCCAGCCAUCCUGGGAGGUGGACCCGGCACUGCUGUCACCCACUGCCUGGCAGGGUGUCUGGGGUUCGGACAGGUACUAGCCGCUGGCGCAGGGCCGGUUGGUAGGGGGCUAAGACCGCUAGCCAGACACCUGCAGGUCCUCCUGUUUGCAGUGUGAAUGAAGCUGCGUUUGGGGUGCGAGUAAAGCUUUGGCUGUGAGAGUCGUGUGCUUUGUUCUUGGGGGCAGCCUGCCCGGGGUGGCCUUUGAGUUCAGAUGCCCUCUCAGCCCUGCUGCUUGCAGCUCGGUGCCCAGUGUCAGGACCUGGCGGUGAACAGGACCGUGGUGGGCCCUGCAGCCUCAGGCCUGACGUCAUAACCCCAGGUCCUCGGUGAGGGCGGCCCUAUUCCCUGCACAGUGUAGACGAGACCAAUCCAGCUUUCAGUGCAGGAGUGGCCAGCCACUGUUGGGCUUGGAUCUGAACCUGGGUCUUAUUCUAAACUCUGCCUCUGCCUUUGGCAGGAAGAGGACACAUUUCAUUUAUCCAGCCCCCACCGGACACCAGGCACUGUCCCAGGGCCCCGGGUGACAGAGCUCACGGUCUGUAAGAAGGGACGGGGGCAUACACUUCUGUGACAUUUGGUGGAUCUGCUGGCCUCACCGGCUGCCUUCCCAAGUGGCCGAGGCAUCCCUGUGUCUCCUGGGUUGUCCAAAAUCUUGGGCAGAGCUGGGGAAGGGGUUCCUGAAAUCCUCACCCUCGGAGAGUUGCCACCCAGCCCGCCCCUUCUCUUCCCCUUCACUUGGCAGCACUUGUCAUGGGAUGGUCAGCAGGCUUCUAUUAAAAACCUGGAAUAUGGGGUUCCUGCUACAGCACUGCAGGUUAAGGAUCCGGUGCUGUCUCUGCAGCAGCGCACUUUCGAUCUCUGGCCUAGGAACUUCCAUAUGCUGUGAGUGUGGC